rnacentral:rRNA from 1 species
AAUGGGUCAGCGACUUAUAUUCUGUAGCAAGGUUAACCGAAUAGGGGAGCCGAAGGGAAACCGAGUCUUAACUGGGCGUUAAGUUGCAGGGUAUAGACCCGAAACCCGGUGAUCUAGCCAUGGGCAGGUUGAAGGUUGGGUAACACUAACUGGAGGACCGAACCGACUAAUGUUGAAAAAUUAGCGGAUGACUUGUGGCUGGGGGUGAAAGGCCAAUCAAACCGGGAGAUAGCUGGUUCUCCCCGAAAGCUAUUUAGGUAGCGCCUCGUGAAUUCAUCUCCGGGGGUAGAGCACUGUUUCGGCAAGGGGGUCAUCCCGACUUACCAACCCGAUGCAAACUGCGAAUACCGGAGAAUGUUAUCACGGGAGACACACGGCGGGUGCUAACGUCCGUCGUGAAGAGGGAAACAACCCAGACCGCCAGCUAAGGUCCCAAAGUCAUGGUUAAGUGGGAAACGAUGUGGGAAGGCCCAGACAGCCAGGAUGUUGGCUUAGAAGCAGCCAUCAUUUAAAGAAAGCGUAAUAGCUCACUGGUCGAGUCGGCCUGCGCGGAAGAUGUAACGGGGCUAAACCAUGCACCGAAGCUGCGGCAGCGACACUAUGUGUUGUUGGGUAGGGGAGCGUUCUGUAAGCCUGUGAAGGUGUGCUGUGAGGCAUGCUGGAGGUAUCAGAAGUGCGAAUGCUGACAUAAGUAACGAUAAAGCGGGUGAAAAGCCCGCUCGCCGGAAGACCAAGGGUUCCUGUCCAACGUUAAUCGGGGCAGGGUGAGUCGACCCCUAAGGCGAGGCCGAAAGGCGUAGUCGAUGGGAAACAGGUUAAUAUUCCUGUACUUGGUGUUACUGCGAAGGGGGGACGGAGAAGGCUAUGUUGGCCGGGCGACGGUUGUCCCGGUUUAAGCGUGUAGGCUGGUUUUCCAGGCAAAUCCGGAAAAUCAAGGCUGAGGCGUGAUGACGAGGCACUACGGUG